CAAGUACAUCCUGCUCCUGCAAUAUCAUUGCUGUGUAUUUGUUUUCCCCUUAGACAUACUCUACAUUGGUUCAGGGUAAAAAAGCUACAGCUUUUCCUGCUAUGUGCAACAAGCUGUCAGAUCAGAGUGAAAUCGAAAACAGGGUUGUGGUUGAUGGCAACCUCAUCACCAGUAGAGGGCCAGGAACUUCUAUGGAGUUUGCACUGGCAAUUGUGGAGAAGUUUUUUGGCCGCAACAAGGCACUUGAGCUUGCAAAGAUAAUGCUUUUCACUCGCGCCUAACGUUUGUACGGGGACCUGACUACUAUUAAACUAGUGUGUUUAUUUCUGUAUUGCGACUGCUUGUAGAGAGGGGAAAUGGAAACUUGAAUUCAUGUUUGAAUAUGGAUUCACUGUGUGGGUUUGUACAGCAGUUUGGUUUAUAAAUAAAUGAGUUCAUAGAGUCACUUCAAUUAUUUGGAAUAAACCUGAGUUUAGUUCUGUUAUCAAUGGUCGGAGUCCAAUUGCGAUCGACUCACUGGGAAUUUUAAUUAUGAACUAAAAAAUUGUUAUGUUAUAUUCCACCUUUCAUAUAUAUAUAUAUAUAUCAAAUGUUAACCCGAUUUACAGGAUAAGAAGGAAAAGAAAGACGCUAAGAGAGGAGCAGAGACCCAAAAAGAGUUGACCACUUUGUUGGAACAUAAAUCUCUAGAAUAUUGAAAUAAAAAAACACAUUGCAAAAGUUGCAUUAACUACUUGUAGCAACAUCAUCCAAGAACUUGACUUUAUUCUUCUUGAGCUUCGCUGCAGCAUCUGUCAUAUGCAUUCUCUUGUCAGGUGACUCCAUACAACAGUCCAAUGCCAAAUCCAUGAUGCUUAAUAAACAAUCCAUUUUGGCAGAAAAAGCUUGCUCUUCUCGCACCAAAUUUGCGUCAACAACUUCACUCAAUCCGUGAAGUAAUGACUCCUUUACCCAUCUCCUUAAACUCAUUUCUCCUGUGAACAUUUCAUCGGUGGACCUCUUUCUCGUGAAAGUUUCCAUCAAUAACACACCAUAGCUGUAGACAUCACAUUUGGCUGAAACAAUUCCUUCUAAUCCAUACUCUGCAUUUUUUAAUUUUAAUUAUGAAACAACUGAUAAAACAAAUAAUUUUUUGACAAUUAAGGUAACCCAAACUUUGCUGUGCUUGAAAAAAGAGCAAGAUUUUUAAUUACAAUUGAAACUUUACCUGGUGCCAUAUAACCAAUUGUAGCCAUUGUCAUGGUUUCUGUCACAGAAUCUUCUCCUUCACCUAAGAGUUUGGAAAUGCCGAAGUCGCUCACAUGUGCCACCAUAUUUUCAUCCAAGAGAAUGUUGGUGGGCUUUAAAUCACAAUGAAUUAUAGGUGCCAACGAAUGACCAUGAUGGAGAUAUUCAAGAGCCGACCCCACAUCUAUCAUUAUAUUCAACCUCUGUAGAAUGUCUAAGAAAUAGUUGUGAGAAUACAACCACUUCUCGAGACUACCAUUCGGCAUGAACUCAAGUACCAAUGCUUUGAAAUCUGGAUUAGAACAACUGCUAAGGAUCUUUAUGAGAUUUCGAUGACGAACAUUCCGUAAAACUUCACAUUCAGAAUCAAAACUCCUAAAUGCUCUUUCUAGUUGCAGAUUGAAAAUCUUUACUGCAACAUUAGUCCCGUCGGAAAUGGUUCCUUUAUAAACUGAUCCAAAACUACCUGUACCAAGCAAGUUACAUUCAUUAAAUUCAUCAGUUGCUCGUUGAAUGUCUUGGUACGAUGUUCUUCUCCAUGUUGCAAGAGGUAGGAAAUCUUCGUGAUCUGAUUUUGUUGUACUCCUAUUUCGGCAUCUUAUGUACAUAAUGAUGGUAAUCACUAUAAGUACGGUGGAUACUAUCGGAGGCAAAAUAUAUUUAAGGAUAGUUAGAGCAACUUUCUUGGUUCUUUUGCUGUUAUCUUGCUUGCAAGGUGGGACUCGGAAUUUAGGUGGACCACAGAGUGCAUAAUUUCCGAAAAAUGAUUCAGCUGAGAAGUUUUUAAAAGACCCCUUAACAGGAAUUUCCCCUUCUAGCCUAUUAUGAGACGCAUUAAAUUGUUUGAGAUGUGAAAGUGUCUCCAAUGACUUGGGAAUUUUUCCAGAGAGAUUGUUGCCGGAGAGAUCUAAGGAUUCUAAGCUUAUCAAACUGCCAACUGAUUCAGGAAUAGGUCCUUGAAAUUGAUUACUAGCCAAGGAUAGAGUUUCUAGAUCUACGAGGGCACCAAUGGUUGAUGGAAUAUCACCUGAUAAUUGAUUCCUUAAUAAAUCUAAAACUCUCAAGACCUUUAACUUUUGUACAUUGGAAAGGAGAGGACCAUUAAAUGAAUUUGACGACAAGUUUAUCUCUAAGAUGUACUCAAGGCUCCACAAGGAUGACGGUAUACUAGAAGUGAGCUUGUUGGAGCCUAAGCGGAGUUCUCUUAGAGAUGUCAAACUCGCCAAGCAUGGCAGUAUAUGUCCAGAGAGCUUAUUUCCAUUUAACCUUAUUCCGUACAUCAACGCCAAGUGGCAAAGAUCAUAGGGAAUGGAUCCUUCCAAAUUAUUUUCUUCAAGAGAUAAACCUUGUAGCCGCUUAAGUCUUCCCAUCGUUGGUGAAAUAGUUCCAUUCAAGUCAUUGAAGCCGAGGCUUAAGAGGAUCAGGCCACGCAACUUACCAAUUUCUUGAGGAAUGUUGCCCUUGAGUUUGCACUCGUAUGCAUAGAAUUUUUGAAAAGAAGCAGAGAAAUUCCCAAUUACUGGCGGAAGGAUGCCGCCUAAUGGAUUAGAACCGAAGGAUAAAAAUGUUAAAUUUCUGCAAUUAGUCAAAGAAGAGAGAAAACUCCAUUGAUCUGCUGAAGAUGAUUCUGUCGUCAAGUUAUUCAUCAUAAGGCUGAGCACGCUGAGGUGUCUCAAGUUGCCAAAUGUAUUUGGAAUGUGGCCUGAGAAUGAGUUUACGCCCAAGUCUAGCAUAAUGAGUUUAGUAGCAUUGGUAAUAGAGUUGGGAAUUGUCCCCAUGAGAUUAUUGGCCCACAAGGUUAAAUACCCUAUGUUCCGAAGCGAUUGGCCAAUCGUUGACGGUAAGCGGCCUGAAAGUUGAUUGCUAAGUAGAUUAAGGAAUCUUAUGGUUGAAAUAUUGAAGAUCGUGGGUGGAAUGAGGCCACUUAAAUUAUUCACACCAAGAAUAAGACGCUCCAAAUUUUGCAGAUUGCCAAUCUCGGUUGGAAUUUCACCUGCCAUAAGGCCAACAUUGAGGAGUCAUUGAGGUUUUAGCUUACGGUAAAUUGAGUGUGACAAUGUUACCCUUGAAAAUGUAAAAGGAUCAAAUUAAAUUUAUUACAUAAUAAUUUCAGCCAAUAAUGUUCUUUAAAAUAUUUCAUAGAUAAUUCUGCAAAAUAUGCAUGCAAAUGGAAAAAUAUGCGUCAAUUAUAAGAGGUGGUGGAACGUACCUUGAAGAUUGCUGAAGCUAAGAUCCAGAUUCACGAGUUUACUCAAAUUUCCAAUCCUUGAAGGAAUAUUUCCACCAAUAAUAUUGAACCGUGCACGCAGCAUCUCUAGCCUUGAUAAGUUGAAGAGAGAAUUAGGGAUGGGUGUUGGGAAAAUAUGCUCUUUAAAAGCAUAUGUGUUUAUUUAAUUGUAAUAAACAAUUUUUCUGAUUAAUAAAAUAAAUGAGGUAUUUUAUUCAAAUAUCUUAAUUGCAUUAAUAUUUGUAUUAAAGUCCAUUUAAUCAUAUUAUAUGUAUUUAUGUGAUCACCAUGUGGAUUCACAGAAGACAUAAAUACAAGUUAUCUUAUGAUUAAAUAAAUUUAGUUCGCAGUUGAUAAAUAAAGUUGGACACUUUAUUUAGGUAUAGACUGUAAUAAAUUCAUUGAAUGAUUUGUCUUAAUCAUGUAUGAAUUUAUUAAUGUAGUACGACUACAUUGAACAGGAUCACAUAUGAGAUUUAAUUAACUUUGUAAUAACUGUCAGACUUAUUAAAUCUCAUAGGCGUUGAUUUUACUGUAAUCUUAAUCUUGAGUUAAUUAUGAUUUCAUGAUUGUAAUUGUUAUUCCAUUUGAGUUACCAAUGGGCACGACACAUUCUUGUGGUCAAGAUUACCCGAUAUCUUGGUGGGAGCAAUUAUGAGUAUUGGAGUUAUGGAUUAACAAUAUAGAAUUUGUACAACACAUCUCUUGAUGGGUUUUCGGCACUUGAUCAUAGAAUUCUCUGGCCAGAGUGUGUCAACAUAUUUAGUAUGUUGAAAAUGAUCAUUAGAGAAAACCAGUAAGGAUCAAGGAAUAAGAUGUUAUUAAAUUGAUUGGACAGUUGAGAUAUCAAUUUAAUUAACGAUGUGGUACAAAAGAUUGUGCAGUAAAGAAAUCAAUGUGGCUUGGGACGAAUUAUUAUUCGAGCAUACAAUUAUGGAAGUCAGUUCCAAUCUUUUAGUGGAGUAGAUUUGGAAUUAAAUAAUUGGGCUAGUUUAAUUACAGGCCUAAUUAUUGUAGCUACUAUUGUAUGUUCCCAAAUGAUCCCCGGGUUAGCUCAUUUAAUUGACUGCACCACUACUGGACUAAUAAGUAAGAUAACUAGCGAUUUGGGUCAAAAGCCUAAAUAUAUCAUUUAGUGGGAGGCUCCAUUUAAUUAGCUUUUGUAUAAGGGGCCUUAUGUUAUUUUACAAGGUGGGUCCCCUAUUGAAAAAGUAAAUAAACGUGAGUUUUAUUUAGGGCAUUAUUUGGAGCCUAGGGUUUUCACUAAAGGGAGAUAUAUAAGGCUUAUUUUUCCCUAAAGAAAAGUAGAGAAGCACUUUUUAUACAGAUCAGAGAAAAAGAUUUUUCUCUCCAUUGUUGAGAGAAAAAUUUUCUCGUGCUAGUUGCUUUGGUAGUGAUAAAGGCGCCCGCACGUCAAGUGCAGAUCGAACCUGAGUCAUAACCUGGAAGAUCAUUGGAGACAGUUCGUGAUCUAACAAGCGUGGUGGUGACGGAUCGUGAUCUAACAGGAGUGGUGGUGGCGGAUCGUGAUCUAGGAGCCUAAAUCACUUCAGCGGAAAAAGCCAACUCAGAUUUUCAAGGUACGAUUUCUGAAUUACGUAUUCCUAUAUAUUAUAUGAGAGCGGUCCUUAAAAGGUUUUAUAAAAAUUUUAAAAACCUGAUUUUUCCCCAACAAUGGGACCUGUGAAACUGUUAUUAUCAAGAAUCAAUAUUUGGAGGUUAGAUAAUACACCAAUCCAUGAUGGAAAGCUUCCACUCAAUUUAUUGUAAGCGAAACUCAUGACUCUGAGUCGACGUAAUUGCCCCAGUUCUUUCGGCAGAUGGCCAUGAAAAUUGUUCUCACUAAUGUCAAGAGACACUAGAAAUGAGAGAUUUCCCAAGUGUAGUGGAAUGGUGCCUCCGAGACCCAUAUCUGAAAGAUUCAAGGCAGUGACUCUUUGAUGGCGUGAACCACAAGAGAUACCAACCCAGCUACAUAUUGGAUAAGAUAUAGACCAAUUAUUUGUCAGGACACUUCGAUAAUCAACGACACGGGCUUUGAAUGCAAGAAGAGCCGAUUGAUCGGUUGUUAAGUUGCUCAAAGUCGUCAUAGCUAAGCUAGCUAUGAAAUAUUGUAACAACAACAUAGGAACAAAGAAGAAUGAUAAGCGCAUAUUGGUCUUUUUUUUUUUUUUUUAUAGAUGCAGCAAUCUAAUUGCUAAGUGAAGUUGAUACAAGUUUUAAGUGAAGGUAAUUAGCAUAUACUUAUACAAGAGACGUAUGAAUUUGAAAACAAGAAAAUAAAAAAUGUACAGGAGAGUGGAGACUUGCAAAUUGUUAUAUUCUAUCAUUGAGCGAGUCGUCCGAGUAAACGCAUAUAGAUUUUUAAAUUGUUAUACGCCGCUGUACUCGAACCCUGAAUAAAGGGCUUAUGGCACUUUACUUACCAAAAAGAAGAAGAUGCUCCACAUUGGCAAGGCCUAUGCAUUCUGUCUAUUUGUUCACAUUAUGCCGAGGCUCAUGGCAACCACAAUUGUUCUUUUCCUUUCCUUUAAAAAUAAAAAAAAGACAGACCAUGACAUUUGGGCUAAUAAUUAUCACUAAACAAUUAAUAAUGCAGAGGGUCAGUGCUAAUAUAGCUUUAAAAUAAUUGUUAUUAGUUGUGCCUUGAAAAAAAAGAAAAAAAAUAGAUAGUUGUACCCCCAUAAUUUAAUGAAAUAAUCAUGUAAAUUCCUAAGCUUUUAACAAUAUACACCAAGACCCCCUUCUGUUACUUUUUACUAUUUAUUCGGAUGUCACAUGCUUUUUUUUUAAAUUUUCACAGUGGAUAUCAAAUGCUGAAUUUACUGUUAUUCCCAGAUCAUGUCAUCGCUUACUUCUACACAUAUUGAUUGUUUUCCCAAAGUUUUAAUUGAAUUAAAAUCAUUCUAAUUAACCUAAAAAAAAAGCAUCCAACCAGAUAUAAAUUUUCUAAUUAACCUAAAUCUUCAUUUUUGUCAUGAUUUUGGAUCUCGAACAGGUUGGGUAUAUCCAACUAGACCUGCCCCAUUAGCAUGCCAAUAUAUUCUGGAAUUGGAAGAGUAUCAAGGAUUUAAUGUGUAAUUUUAAAUUUGUAACGUUUAAUUCUAAUUUGAGGAUUCAAAUUGAAAGAAUUAUAAAAAGAGUUGUUUGUUUCUUGAGGAAGUAUUAAGAAAAUUCUAGAAGAGUUGUGAAACUGAAUUCGUUAUUUUCUUAAUCACAGAAUGUUACAAACUAUGGAUAUUUAUACUUACAUUUCUCAACUUUGAUCAGUGUAACUAAUCAAAGAAUUAAUCAGCUAACUUUCAUCACAAUACAUUUUGUGUUUCUAACAAACUGUAACUAACUAAGCUGAGCUGGCAGCUACACUUCUGCAACACUCUAUAUUCUUCUUUAGCUUAAUUAAGCUUUUCCUUCCUCUGUUUCUCCUUGCUUCGUUCUCCAUAAUGAGCUACUCUAACACAAAUGAAUUUAUGCGGAUCUAAAAGGGGACUGAAGAUUGGCAUGCAUACAUACAUAAAUACAUACAUAUAUAUAUAUAUAUAUAGAGAGAGAGAGAGAGAGAGAGAGAGAGAGAGAGAGAGAGAGAGAGAGAGGUUAUAUAACAUUCUUCUUGAUGAAGAUUUUUGUGCCAUACGAAUUAAAGAGAGUAUUGGGUCGAUGGUUACAUUGCUUCAGAGGUGCUUAGUAGAAACUUUGGUGAGGCAUCACAUAAUUUAAAUUACUAGAUUUACCGAGAUAUAUAUGUAUGUAUGUAUAUAUAUUCCACAUUGGAUUUACAAGCAUUUCGAGCAGGAUAAUGAAUUUCAAUUACUCGGAAUUGUAAACAGCGAAGAAAGUGAAAUUGCUAAGAAGAUGAAUAUUGUUGUUUUGUGGUGUAUGCGGACUCGUCCAUGAACAGAGGGAUAGAAAUGUUAUUGCAAAAAAGCAGACUGACUAGCAGUGACGCUUUGAAUAAGUCCACCAAACAUCUCCUCCUCCAGGACCACCAAUAUAUUCUUCCAUCAUUCAACGUCGUGACGUGGGGAUCAGAAUUAAAUUAUAGGAUGCUUGUAAGUUUCCUUUGUGGAACCUGUGAAUUUGUGACGUCAAAAGUCAAUGAUGCAUGUAAAUAUUGAUAAACAUUUACACUAGCCGGCCCGUGUAGAGUCCGUUUGACUCAUAAAUAUUUGUCACUUUCACUCUUUUUCAAAACCCAAAAGCACGCUAAAGCUUAAUCUUUAAAGAAUUUUUGAUUGAGUGCUGACAUUUUGGGCUUAUCUUUAAGUAAUCUUAUACCACGCAUGCAUUUUUGUCAUUGUGUGAUCGUCGUUACUUCUAAAGAUUGUAAUCUUUAAGAAAUAAAUUACUUCUCUUGAGAGUGAAAGCAGGGCAGCUAUUGGCGUAUUGCAAUGCAGCUGCUAUGUAUAGUAGUCAAUUCUUGAAAAGAACUAGUUUUCUUAAAUUGUAAAUGGUCCCCUUUAUGACUGGGAGAUUUUGAACAAAAUGAAUAUGAUGAAUUCUUUCCUUGAAGUCUCAUCUUUCAUAAUGUUUUUGAAAUAAAGAUAUUACCAUCUCUGGCUAAAUGUUUACUCUUGAUUUGGACCACCUAAUCUGAACUUAAUGAAAGAUUAUGAUCUUGCCUGAUUUUAUGGAUGUGGUCUUAUCUCACUAAGUCAGUAAUGAAUUAAUUAAAGUUUACUGUCAAAUUACGAACUCAAAAACUGCUGCUGCUUCAUUAUUCACAAUACCCAAAUUCAGUGCAGAACUUAUUAUAAGCUUUCCGAAAGUUUUACGCUUUCUUUCCCCCAAAUCCCAAGUACUUCUUGUAAUAUCACUCCCCUGUAGAUGUCUUCCCCUAAGACAUGUUUAACUUUGGUUCAGGGUGACAAAGCUAUCGCUUUUCCUGCCGUGUGCAACAAGCUAUUAAAUUAGAGUAUUUAUUUCUGUAUUACUAAUAGUAGUAAGAGAGGCGAAAUGGAAACUUGAAUUCAUGUUUAUACAACAGUUUGUUUAUAAAUAAAUGAGUUGAUAACAAGUCAUUUUAAAUAUUUGCCAAAAAAAACGGUGAAUGAUGUCUAGUUCUAUUUUCAAUGUUCAGAGUCCAAUUUUGAUUACUGGAAAUUUUAAUUAUGAAGUUGAACUAAGAAUUUGUUAUAAUAUAUCAAAAACAGUAAUAACUCGAUUUACAGGGUGAGAAAGAAAAGAAAGACGCUACGAGGGAAGCAGAGAUUCAAAGACUUCGCCACUUUGUUGGAGGAACAAUUUCAUAAAUCUCCAGAAUAUUGACAUAAAACACAUACCAUAUCUAGCGUUAAGUGUAUUUAUGUAUGUCCAAAGAUAAAAAUUCGAAGAUAUAAUUUAUCAUUUCAAUUUAUGUUCUGCCCAAAGCAAUGGCUUUUAUUCCACAAGCACAAACAAGAAAGAGUACGCACAAAGUUAACAAACACACAUAGCAAACGUGACAUCAACUACUUGCAGCAGCAUCAUCCAGAAACUUCACUCUAAUCUUCUUGAGCUUUUCAGCGGCAACUUUCGUAGAUGCCCUCUGUUCUGGUGACUCCAUGCAACAAUCCAAUGCCGAAUGCAUGAUGCUUAAUAAACAAUUCAUUUUAGGAGAAAAAACUUGCUCUUCUCUCACCAAGUUUGCAUCGACAACAUCACUCAAUGCACGAGGUAAUGACUCCCUUACCCAGUCUCUUAAACUUAUUUCUCCGGUAAACAAUUCAUUUGUGGGCUUCUUUCUGGUGAAAGUUUCCAUCAAUAAAACACCAUAACUAUAGACAUCACCUUUGGCCGAAAUCAUUCCUUCUAAUCCAUACUCUCCAUUUUUUGGUUUCGAUAGAUCAAAUGGAUAUGACAUCAUAAAACAAAUGAUAAACAAAUAAUAUAUUUGACAGUCAAGAUGGCCCAAACUUUGACUGUGCUUCGAAAAGAGCGAAAAUUUGAAAUUAUAAUUGAAACCUUACCUGGUGCCAUAUAACCAGUUGUAGCCACUGUCAUGAUUUGGGUCACAGAAUCUUCUCCAUCACCUAAGAGUUCGGAGAUGCCGAACUCACAUGUGCCACCAUAUUUUCAUCCAAGAGAAUGUUGCGAGGCUUCAAAUCACAAUGAAUUACAGGUGUUGAUGAAUGAUCGUGAUGGAGAUAUUCAAGUGCCAGCCGCACAUCUAUCAUUAUAUUCAACCUCUCUAGGAUAUCUAGGAAAUAGUUGUGAGAACACAACCAUUUCUCAAGACUACCAUUGAGCAUGAACUCAAGCACCAGUACUUUAGAAUCUGGAUUGCAACAGCUGCUAGUGAUCUUUGUGAGAUCUUGAUGACGAACAUUCCACAAUACUUCACAUUCAGAAUCAAAACUCCUAAAGGCUCUCUCUAGCUGCAGAUUGAAAACCUUUAUUACAAUAAUAGUCACAUCAUAAAGUGUGCCUUUAUAAACAGAUCCGAAGCUCUCCGUACCUAGCAGGAUACAUUCACUAAAUCCAUCAGUUGCUCGUUGAAUAUCAUGAUAGGAUAGUCUUCUAUAUGUUGUCGAAGAGAACAAAUCUUCUUUAUCUGGAGUUCUUGUUUUCCUAUUUUGAAAUAUUAUGAAGAAUCAUAACAAUUGUUAUUAGUGCAUUGGAUAUAAUCGAAGGCAAAGUAUAUUUCAGGACAAGCAGAGUAGCAUUCUUGGAUCCUUUGCUAUUAUCUUCUUUGCAAGGUGGGACUUGAAGGCCUGGUGGACCACAUAGUGCAUAAUUCUCAAAAAACGAUUGAGCUGAAAUGUUUUUAAAAGGUCCUUUGAUAGGAAUUACCCCUUCUAGCCUAUUGUGAGACACAUUAAGUUGUUUGAGAUAUGAGAGUGCCUCCAUUGACUUUGGAAUUUCUCCAGAGAGAUUGUUGCUAGGGAGAUCCAAAGAUUCCAACCUUAUCAAACUACUAAAUGAUUUAGGGACCAGACCAUAAAAGUGGUUUCUAGCCAAGGAUAAAGUUGCUAGAUCUUUGAGGCCACCAAUACUUACUGGUAUAUCACCUGAUAAUUGAUUUCUUGAUAAAUCAACUCUAUUAAGACCUUUAAGUUUUGUAUAUCUGAAGAUAGAGGACCACUUAGAGAAUUUGUCGACAAGUUUACAUACAAGAUGUACUCAAGAUUCCACAAGGAUGAUGGGAUACUAGAAGUGAGCGUGUUGUAGCUUAAAAAGAGUGUUUUUAAGGAAUUGAAUAUCUAAAAUCUUGUAUGUAAAUAUUAACACUUAGAGAAUUUGUCGACAAGUUUUUAAGGAUUUACUGAUUAAAUAAUUUUUCAAUUUGUUUGCCUGGAGGAAUUGAAUAGUUAACUGAUUAAAGGAUUUCAAGGUGGUUAGGUCUAGCCGAGCAUUGUAAAUAUUAACAGUCAUUAUGAAUGUGUAAUUCCUAUAUGUGAAAUUGAAUUUCCAUGGUAGAAUGGUAAAUUUCUGGUAGGGUGUGAUUGUAUGGUAGACAAUUGUGAGCAACAGAUCCACAUAGUAAUAUAGACUGAAAUUUUGCGUCUUAAUCCAUGAAGAGAUAUAGAUUUUGGCAAAUAUUAUACAAGCACUUGGGGCAGGGGUGGCUUUAGGUAUAGGCGAAUAAGGCAGUUGUCUAAGGCCCCAUAUUUUGUGAAGGCCUCAUUUUUUUUAAAUUACGUAUUUUAGGAAAUCAAAAAGUUUAUUAACAUCUCUCUAAUUUAUUAAUUAUCCUAUAGUUAAGAAUUAUUUUUUAUGAAAAAUUUAUAUUUGAUAACAUUAAGUUAAAGAGAUAUAACUAAUAAUAUUAUUUAAUUAUUAGUAUUUCCAAAAAAAAUUAAAUUAUUAGUCUUUUCAAUUUCCUAAAAAAAAUAAUUAUUUAAUGUUAGAAUCUUUGACUUUUAGUAUUUCUUUUACUUUCUAUUAAAAACUUUGUAAUCUCAAAAAUCAGUAAAUCAAAAAAUUUCUUCCUCUCUUCUCUACAAAGAAAAUUAUUAUAUUCAUUGGUUCAUUUAAAAAAAAAUCAGUUUAUAGAAAUAUAAAGUCCAUUUCUAUUAUCUGAUCAUUAAUUCAUCAUCUCAACUUUUUAUAUUCUAUCAUUCUAAAUAUAUUAUUUGAAAAUAAUAUUAUUCUUAUUUAUUUGUUUGUUUAUUUUGUAAUAGUUUUAAUGGAAUAAAAAUGAUAUCUUCUUAACUUUUUUUAGGUUUUAUUUUUAAAAUUCAAGAAUUAAAAAUGGAAUAAAUUUUGAGCCUUUUUUUAAAAUUUCUUUGAGUAUUGAAAUUGCAAUUUUUUUUUUAAAUUUCUUUGAGUAUUGAAAUUGCAAUUUCUUUUUAAAAUUUCUUUGAGUAUUGAAAUUACAAAAUAAAUAGAGGCCUCAUAAAAAAAUUUCGCCUAAGGUCCCAAACACUCUAAAGCCGGCCUUGACUUGGGGUUACCUUAAAUAUUAUGGACUUGUCAUUGAUCAUUGAUAGAGUUUCUUUUACCUAGUUAUUGAUAUUUCUUUCAAUUUUCUAUUUUACUGAUACCACAAUUUUAGGUGGCAAGACAACUUUCGAUUUCUAUUAAGCCUGAAAACCUGCAUCUACCAUCACCUCUGUCUGCUUUUGGGGAAUACGAGUUUCCUAUGCGCUUACCCAAAAUACGAGGUCCAGUGGACUCUCAAUGUUAAAGUCCACGGCAAAUAAACAAUCGUUUCAUUUGUUUUGUAUCCAAAUUCCAAAUUCCAUUGAAGAUAAUACAGGCAACAUUGUUUGCAACGCCACAGCUAAUUUGCAGUAGGAUGAAACAAUCAGAAUUUUGCCUUUUUCGUGUAUAAAAUUUUAUUUUUUUAAUUGUGAUAUUACAGUUUUGCCCAUCAAGCAUUAUGAAGCUUAAUAUUUAGAUAAAUGUUAGGUUUAAUCUAUAAAUUUUAACUUCAGUGUUUAUUUAAUUUUUAUAUUUUGUAAAAUAUCUCAAGACAGCCCUAUUCUCAAAUAUUGGCUUGAUCCGUAUAUAUUAACAUCAGUGCUUAUUUAGGUUUUAUAUUUUACAAAAUACUUUAAGGCAGUUCUAUUAUCAAAUAUGUUAUGCUCUUGCUUUCAUUUUUUCUUUGUUUUUAUAAUAAUACUCUGAUAACAAAAUUUUUUUACAUUAAUUUUUUAAUCAAUAAAAAAGGUAACUACCAAAUUAACCGAUAAAUUAAUUUGUUUAUUUUUUUAAUCAAUAAAAAAUUUAAUUAAUAUUAAUUAAUAAAUUACUUGGUAGCAAAUUAAAAAAUAAAUAUUAGCAUAAAACAAUUGAUAUUUUUCAUUCUCUUACAACAAUCUUACUAAUUAUUAUUUAUAAAUUAAUUAAUACAAGUUAAUUUAAAGUAAUGUUUAAUAUUCUUGUAACAAUCUUACUAAUAAUUUUUUUUGUAAAAAAUAAUUUAUUAAAUUAAUCCUAAAAGUAAAAUAAUAAUAAUUAAUUUAUAAUUUAUUUUUAAGGUUAAUUUGAUAAAUUCAAAUUUUUUUAAUUAAUAUCUCCAAAAAUAUAGUUGCAACGAUAUUAUUACAAAAGUUAAAAAAAAGUAAAUAUAGGAUUGUAAUAUAACUGUCAGUGAAAAUAAUUUAAAAUAUUUUUUAUAAUUAAACGGACAUUUAAUUAAAAAUAUAAAGAACUAAAUAAACAUGUAUUUUGUAACAUUUCAACCUGCUGGCUAAUGGUCAUACAAUCAUGGUGAGGCCCGGGAUGUCCGGCCCAGCCCAUCAUGUAAAAAGCCAUGUCACCCUUAUUCUUAAGCUGCUACUGCAUUGCCACUUUGCCAGUUGCCACGAAGCUCCCCACAUCACACCGCACUGAUGCCUCUAGAAAACUAACUUAAAAAAAUGGUAUUAAUAAGCGUUCGCCACGUCACUCCUCACUCUCUUCUUCGUCACUUUCCUCUCACUCAACAUUUUCUCCCCAAACAAAUUCCUGCUUUGAAAAAUCGCAUUUUCUCCUUCACAGCAACAGCUACAAUGUCUUCAACUUCCAAAAAGGUAAUUAUUUUAUUUUAUUUUUUGUUUAGUUUCUUUCUGUUGCCUUUUUGUUUCGUUUUUGAAUUUUCCGUGUCGUUUUUUUCCAAGGUUUUGGUGCCUGUUGCGAACGGGAGUGAGCCGAUUGAGGCUUUGAUAACGAUCGAUGUUUUGAGAAGGUCUGGAGCAGACGUCGCGGUUGCGUCUGUGGAGACACAGCUUCGUGUCGACGCGUGUCAUGGUGUCAAGGUUGUCGCUGAUGCUCUGGUGUCUGACUGCCGCGACGCCGUUUUUGAUCUUAUAGCUCUUCCCGUAUGUAUUGCAGCUCGCCUUAGCUCAUGCCAAUUUAUGUGAUGUUUGUAUAAUUAUAGAUGAUUAUUGCUGAUCCUGAAUGUUAAGCUAAAUAAUUCGUCGUUAAGUCAUCUUCAUUUAAUUUUCGAUUGAAAAUGAACUAAUAAUAAUUUUAAGCAAAGAAAAAAAAUGGAAAAUGUUUAUUUUGUUUUAUUUUUAUUUUUUAAUUUUUUGGGAUUUCCUUAUUGUGGCUGUUACCAUUCAUUAUGUGGUCCUAGUUAAAUAUUUCAAGUUGUUGUAGUCAGUGAAAUUCUUUUCGAUAUUUAUUCUGGCAUGUAUGUUUUUCCUUUUCAAUUUCUUUUGUUGCUGAUUUUUUGGUUAUGUUAUAUCCUUUUUUAUUUCCCUUGUAGGGUGGCAUGCCCGGUGCUACCAAUCUGAAAGAAUCUGAAGUAUUAGAAAGCAUUGUGAAGAAGCAGGCUUCAGAUGGGCGUCUUUAUGCUGCUAUCUGUGCUUCACCUGCUGUGGCGUUAGGGUCUUGGGGUCUGUUGAAGGGAUUGAAGGUAAGAAUUAGAUAAACCUUUUUGAUGUUUUGUGGUCUUUUGGGAAUUGCACUGAUAUUUUUGUUAUAGUUCAGUUUUCUUCUGGCUGAUGAUUCUUAAGUUCUAAUUUAUGUAGUUGUUCAUUUUUCGUAGGCUACUUGUUAUCCAUCAUUUAUGGAGCAAUUAGCUCCUGCUUGUGCAGCAACUGUUGAAUCAAGAGUACAGCAGGAUGGUAAAGUUGUUACGAGUCGUGGACCGGGCACUACCAUGGAGUUUGUCGUUGCACUUGUUGAGCAGUUGUAUGGGAAAGAGAAAGCUGAUGAAGUUUCUGGGCCACUGGUAUUAACUUUUAUAGAUAACGUUGUUUAAAAAAAUUAUGAGUUAUAUAAUUUGUGGAAAUCCAUUCUAAUAGAUUCAUUUGGUGUGUCUAGUUGGAAGUUUCAGAGGCUAAUGUAUUCAAGAAAAUAAGUUCAGGGGAAGAGUAUGACUUUUUGCAUUAGUGAUUCAUUAGAUGAAAUUGCAUACCUGCUGGUCCAUCAUAAGGUGGUGAAAACAAUGUUUGAUUUAAUUAAUGGGAUCCUGAAAUAUGCAUUUGUUGAGCUUCAAUGUCUCCACUGAUAAAAUUCUUUUUAAUGUAAGUUCUUUCUCUUGGUAUUUGUAUUUGAAUUUUCUGUUCCUCAUGCUUUCGUCUUUACUGUCACCUUGUGCCUAGGUAAUGCGUGCAAAUCAUGGAGAUGAAUACACUAUUGCUGAGUUCAAUCCAAUUCAGUGGACAUUUGACAAUUCUCCCCAGGUGAGAUUGGACUGUUAGUUUCUUGUAUUUGUUUUUCUUCUUCCAUGUUUUGAGGGAUACCCAUUUGGUAGUAAAUAAAAAUUUGUGAUAUCUUCUAUACAUGUACAUAUACAUCAUUGACUUCACUCAUUUGUGAACAUAUUGGAGGUAGCAGAUAUAUUUUUAUGAUAAAUCCAAAGUUUGAUCAACUACAAAAGAAGUAUGAGCGUUGCUGGACCAGGGGGGAAGGUUGAGGGUGGAUGGGCUGGGGGUGUACGGCGCAUGAACAAAAGGAAAUUAUAGGGGUGAAAGUUCAUGCCAUCCACAAGUUGUAAAAUGGGUACAUAAUAUUUCAAAUUAGAGAUUGUGAGAUCCUUAAAGAUUGCUGACUUGUGCUUAAAAUGGAACUCUUGAUAACUUCAAAUGUUAUAAGUUCUUGGUGAAAUUUUGUGCUUUCUUUUCUUUCAGAUUCUUGUGCCUAUUGCGAAUGGUUCAGAGGAGAUGGAAGCUGUUAUGAUAAUUGAUAUUCUGCGACGAGCUAAAGCAAACGUUGUGGUUGCAUCGGUUGAGGAUAAACUAGAAAUUCUGGCUUCUCGUCAAGUUAAAUUAGUGGCAGAUGUGCUCAUUGAUGAGGCAGCUAAACUUUCGUAUGAUUUAAUUGUCUUGCCAGUAAGUUGUGGUGCUUACUCUUGCUUCAUAGUCUUUACCACAUUAUUGACUAACUAACUACAAUUUAUCUAUACACAUUGCGCAGGGUGGACUUGGUGGCGCUCAAGCAUUUGCGAAGUCAGAGAAAUUGGUGAAUAUGCUAGAGAAGCAAAAGGAAUCAAAUAGACCUUACGGUGCUAUAUGUGCAUCCCCAGCUUUAGUGUUGGAGCCCCAUGGCUUACUCAAGGUACGACAUUUCUGCUUAAAUUAUUUACUCAGAUUUGCAUCACCUAAUCUGAACUUAAUGAAAGAUUAUGAUGUUGUAUGAUUUUAUGAAUGUGUUCUUAUAUCAUGUAAGUCAGCAAUGAAUUAAUUGAAGUUUGCUGACAAAUUAGAAGCUCAAAAACUGCUGCUUCUUCAUUAGUUAAUUACCCAAAGAGUUAAGAUAGGCAUCCCAAAUUUGUUAUCCCAAAUGAUAUGGCAUUUAUUGAGUGAUUGGUAUUAAUUGUAUUAUCUAACCCACCAACAGAUGAAUGCCGCACCAUUUGAGACGAUCUUUUGGGAUAAAAAAUUUGGGAAGUGUAGCAAAUUUUUAUGCUGAUUUUUUUGGCUUCAUUCAUGUAAACUCCCCCCCCCCCCCCCCCCAAAAAAAAAGGAAAAAACCAACAAACACCCAAAAAAAAAAAAUUCUGAAGUACUUCCCGUAAUAUCAUUCCUGUGUAUUUCUUUUCCCCUCAAGACAUAUUUAACUUUGGUUCAGGGUAAAAAAGCUACAGCUUUUCCUGCCAUGUGCAACAAGCUGUCAGAUCAGAGUGAAAUCGAAAACAGGGUUGUGGUUGAUGGCAACCUUAUCACCAGCAGAGGGCCAGGAACUUCUAUGGAGUUUGCACUGGCAAUUGUGGAGAAGUUUUUUGGCCGCAACAAAGCGCUUGAGCUUGCAAAGAUAAUGCUUUUCACUCGCACCUAAAGUUUUUACUGAAACCUGCCUACUAUUAAACUAGAGUAUUUAUUUCUGUAUUACUACUGCUUGUAGAGAGUGGAAAUGGAAACUUGAAUUCGUGUUUGAAUAUGGAUUCACUGUGCGGGUUUGUACAACAGUUCGUUUAUAAAUAAAUGAGUUCAUAGUCAUUUUGAAUAUUUGGAAUAAGCGUGAUUGCUGUUGAGUUCUGUUAUCAAUGUUCGGAGUCCAAUUGUGGUUGAGAGGGAUAUAAUUACCGUUACUGGGAAUUUUAGUUGUGAACUAAAAAUUUGUUAUAUUACAUUCCACCUUUCUACAGAAUCCUUUGGAAUAAUAAAUAUACAUCAAAUAAUAACUCGAUUUUCGGGAUAAGAAGGAAAAAAAAAAAAAGCAGAGACUGAAAAGAACAGAAUUGGCCGUUUUGUUGGAGCAUAAAUCUCUAGAAGAUUGAAAUAAAACAGAUACCAUAUCUAGUUUCAAGUAUGUUUAUGCAAGAAUAUACAAAUUUGAAGAUUAGAUUUCUCAUUUCAAUUUAUGUUCUGCUCAAAGCAAUGGCUCUUAUUCCACAGGCACAAACAGGAAAGAGUACGCACAAAGUAACAAGCACACUUAGCGUAUGUUGCAUUAACUACUUGCAGCAACAUCAUCCAGGAACUUCGCUUUGAUCUUCCUGAGCUUUGCUGCAGCGUCUGUCAUAUGUAUCCUCUUGUGAGGUGUGUCCAUACAACAAUCCAAUGCCAAAUCCAUGAUGCUUAAUAAACAAUCCAUUUUGGCAGAAAAAGCUUGCUCUUCUCGCACCAAAUUUGCAUCAACAACUUCGGUCAAUCGGUGAGGUAGUGACUCCUUUACCCAUCUCCGUAAACUCAUUUCUCCUGUGAACAUUUCAUCGGUGGGUUUCUUUCCCGUGAAAGUUUCCAUCAAUAAAACACCAUAACUGUAGACAUCACAUUUGUUUGAAACAAUUCCUUCUGAGCCAUAUUCUGCAUUUUUUAAUUUCAAUGUUUCAAGUAGAUAUGUCAUUAUGAAACAACUAGAAAAAGCAAAUAAUUUUGUGAUAAUUAAGGUAAUCCAAAGUUUGCUCGUGCUUGAAAAAAGAGCAAAAAUUUUAAUUACAAUUGAAACUUUACCUGGUGCCAUAUAACCAAUUGUAGCCAUUGUCAUGGUUUGUGUCACAGAAUCUUCUCCUUCACCUAAGAGUUUGGAAAUGCCAAAGUCGCUCACACGUGCCACCAUAUUUUCAUCCAAGAGAAUGUUGGUAGGCUUCAAAUCACAAUGAAUUAUAGGUGCCGACGAAUGACCAUGAUGGAGAUAUUCAAGAGCUGACCCCACAUCUAUCAUUAUAUUCAACCUCUGUAGAAUGUCUAAGAAAUAGUUGUGAGAAUACAACCACUUCUCAAGACUACCAUUUGGCAUGAACUCAAGUACCAAUGCUUUGAAAUCUAGAUUAGAACAGCUGCUAAGGAUCUUUAGGAGAUUUCGAUGACGAACAUUCCGUAGAAUUUCACAUUCAGAAUCAAAACUCCUAAAUGCUCUCUCCAAUUGCAGAUUGAAAAUCUUAAUUGCAACAUUAGUCCCAUCAGAAAGGGUUCCUUUAUAAACUGAUCCAAAACUGCCUGUACCAAGUAAGUUGCAUUCAUUAAAUUCAUCAGUUGCUCGUCGAAUGUCUAAGUACGAUGUUCUUCUCCAUGUUGCGCGAGGCAAAAAAUCUUCAUGAUCCAAAUGCUUUGUACUCCUAGUUCGGCAUCUUAUGUACAUAAUGAUGAUGAUCGCUACAAGUGCAGUGGAUAGUAUCGAAGGCAAAAUAUAUUGAAGGACAAUUGGAGCAACUUUAUUGGUUGUUUUUCUGUUAUCUUGCUUGCAAGGUGGGACUUGGAGUCUAGGUGGACCACAGAGUGCAUAAUUCCCAAAAUAUGAUUGAGCUGAGAAGUCUUUAAAAGACCCCUUGACAGGAAUUUCCCCUUCUAGCCUAUUGUGAGAUACAUUAAACUGUUUGAGAUGUGAAAGUGCCUCCAAUGACUUAGGAAUUUUUCCAGAGAGAUUGUUGUUAGAGAAAUCUAAGGAUUCUAAGCUUAUCAAACUGCCAACUGAUUCAGGAAUCGGACCCUGAAAUUGAUUACCAGCCAAGGAUAGAGUUUCUAGAUUUUUGAGGGUACCAAUGGUUGAUGGAAUAUCACUUGAUAAUUGAUUUCUUGAUAAAUCUAAAUCUAUCAAGACCUUUAACUUUUUUAUAUUCGAAGGGAGAGGACCCUUUAAUGAAUUUGACGACAAGUCUAUACGCAAGAUGUGUUCAAGACUCCACAAAGAUGAUGGUAAACUAGAGCUGAGCUUAUUGGAGCCUAAGUAGAGGCUUCUUAGAGAAGUCAAACUCGCCAAGCAUUGUGGUAUAGUUCCGGAGAGCUUAUUUCCACCUAAGCUUAAUAUAUUCAACCUCUCCAAAUGGCAAAGAUAAUUGGGAAUGGAUCCUUGCAAAUUAUUCUUAUAGAGAUAUAAACCUUGCAGCUGUUGUAAUUUUCCCACAGAUGCUGGUAUGGUGCCAUUCAAGUCAUUGUUGACGAGGUUUAAAAGUACCAAGCCACGUAAAUUACCAAUUUCUUUUGGAAUGCUGCCCCCGAGUUUGCACUCUAAUGGAAAGAAUCUUUGAAGAGAAGCAGAGAAAUUUCCAAUUAAUGGUGGAAGGAUGCCACCUAAUGGAUCAUAAGCUAAGGCUAGUUUUUCUAGAUUUCUGCAAUUAGUCAAAGAAGAAAGAAAACUCCACUGAUCUGCUGAAGAUGAUUCUGUCGUCAAGUUAUUCCUCAUAAGGUUGAGGGUGCUGAGGUGUCUCAAGUUGCCAAAUGUAUUUGGGAUAUGGCCCGAGAAUGAGUUAGAGCUCAACUCUAGGCCAAUGAGUUUAGAAGCGUUGGUAAUAUAGUUGGGAAUUGUUCCUAUAAGAUUAUUGCGCGCCAAGAUUAAAUACUCUAUGUUCCGAAGCGAGUGGCCAAUCGUUGAUGGUAAGCGGCCUGAGAGUUGAUUGCCAAGCAGAUUAAGGUGUCCUAUGGUUGAACUAUUGAAGAUCGUGGGUGGAAUGAGGCCACUUAAAUUAGUGUCACCAAGAACAAGAUACUCCAAAUUUUGUAGAUCGCCAAUCUCGGUUGGGAUUUCACCUGCCAUAAGGCUAACAUUGAGGAGUUUUACCAAAAAAUAAAAUAAAAACAUUUCAUAGAUGAUUCUGUAAAAGAGUUUGACAAAAAAAAAUUGAGCUUUUAGCUUAAGGUAAAUUGAGUUUGACAAUGUUACCCUUCAACAUGUAAAAGGAUCAAAUUAAAUUUAUUACAUAAUAAUUUCAGCCAAUAAUGUUCUUUAAAAUAUUAAUUUCAUAGAUAAUUCUGCAAAAUAUGCAUGAAAAUGGAAAAAUAUGCUUCAAUUACAAGAGGUGGUGGAACGUACCUCGAAGAUUGCUGAAACGCAGAUCCAGAUUCACGAGUUUACUCAAAUUUCCAAGCCUUAAAGGAAUAGUUCCACCAAAAAUAUUGAACCGUGCACGCAGCGUCUCUAGCCUUGAUAAGUUGAAGAGAGAAUUAGGGAUGGGACCUGUGAAACUGUUAUUAUCAAGAUUCAAUAUUUGGAGGUUAGAUAAGACACCAAUCCAUGAUGGAAAGCUUCCGCUCAAUUUAUUGAAAGCGAAUCUCAUGACCCUGAGUCGACGUAAUUGCCCCAAUUCUUUCGGCAGAUGGCCAUGAAAAUUGUUCUUCCUAAUGUCAAGAGACACUAGAAAUGAGAGAUUUCCCAAGUGUUGUGGAAUGGUGCCUCCGAGACCCAUAUCUGAAAGAUUCAAGGCAGUGACUCACUGACUCUUUGAUGGCGUGAACCACAAGAGAUACCAACCCAGCUACAUAUUGGAUAAGAUAUAGCCCAAUUGUUUGUCAGGACACUUCGAUAAUCAACGACACGGCUUUGAAUGCAAGAAGAGCCGAUUGAUCUGUUGUUAAGUUGCUCAAAGUCGUCAUAGCUAAGCUAGCUAUGGAAUAUUGUAACAACAACAUAGGAACAAAGAAGAAUGAUAAGCGCAUAUUGGUCGUUUUUAGUAGUAGUUGCAAGGCAAGAUUGAUAGAAGUUUUAAGUGACGGAAAUUAGCAUAUACUUAUACAUGAGACAUAUGAAUUUGAAAAUAAGUGCAGAAAAAAUAUACAGGGGACUUGCAAAUUGUUAUAUUCUGACAUUGAGCGAGCCGUCGAAGUAAACGUAUUUACACUUGAACCCUAAAUAAAGGCACUGUGGCACUUAAUUGCCAAAAGGAAGAAGAUGCUCAACAUUGGCAACGCGUAUGCAUUUGUUCUCACUAUGCUAAGGCUUAUGGCAACCACAAUAUGUUCUUUUUCUUUUCUCUAAAAAUAAAAAAAGGCGACCUUCACUUGACUUGGUCUAAUAAUUAUCACAAAACAAUUAAUAAUGCAAAGGGUCAGUGGCACCCAACUUUAAAAUAACAACGUAAUUAUUGUUAGUUGUCUUAGAGAUAAAGGAAAAAGAUAGCUAUACCUCCAUAAUUUGAUCAAAUAAUUAAAUAAAUUUUUAAUCAAGAUUCUAUUUUAUUACUUUUUACAGUUUAUUUGGAUGUCAAAUACAAAAUUUACUGUUAUUCCAAUAUCAUGUCAUCACUUGCUUCUAUACAUGGAAUGAUAUAUUGACUGUUUUUCCAAAGUUUUAAAUUGAACUAAAAGCAUUCUAAUUAACCUUAAAAAAAAUCAUCCAACCAGAUAUAAAUCUUCUAAUUAACCUAAAGAUACCCAUAUUAAUUCCAGUUAAAUAAAUCUUCAUUUUUUUCAUGGUUUUGGAUCUCGAGCAGGGUGGAUAUAUCCAACUAGAUCCGCCCCAUUGGCAUUCCAAUAUAUUCUGGAAUUGGAAGAGUAUCAACGACUUAAUGUGUAAUUUUAAAUUUGUAACGUUUAAUUCUAAUUUGAGGAUUCAAAUGAAUUUAUGCGGAUCUAAAAGGGGACUGAAGAUUGGCAUGCAUACAUACAUGCAUUAAAUAUAUUUACGUAUAAAGAGAGAGAGAGAGAUAAUAUAACAUUCUUCUUGAAGAAGAUUUUUGUGCCAUACGAAUUAAAGAGAGUAUUGUGUCGAUGUUGGAGGCUAGAGGGACAAUUGGUUACAUUGCUUCGGAAGUGUUUAAAUUACUAGAUUUAGCGAGAUAUAUAUAUAUAUAUUUUCCACAUUGGAUUUACAAGCAUUUCGAGCAGGAUACUGAAUUUCAAUUACUCGGAAUUGUAAACAGCGAGGAAGGUGGAAUUGUAAACUUACUCGCAAGCAUUUUGUGGUGUAUACGGACUUGUCCAUCGGAUAGGUCGCCCAUGAACAGAGUGAUGGAAAUGUUAUUGCGAAGAAGCAGACUGACCAGCAGUGACGCUUUGAAAAGUCCACCAAACAUCUUCUCCUCCAAGACCACCAAUAUAUUCUUCCACCAUUUCAACGUCGUGACGUGGGGAUCAGAAUUGAAUUAUAGGAUGCUUGAAAGCUUCCUUUGGGGAACUUGUGAAUUUGUCAUGGCAAAAGUCAAUGAUGCAUGUAACUAGCUAGCCCGUGUAGAGUCCGUUUGACUCAUAAAUAUUUGUCACUUUCACUCUUUUUCAAAACCCAAAAGCACGCUAAAUCUUAAUCUUAAAAGAAUUUUUUAAGUAAUCUUUUACCACGCAUGCAUUUAUGUCAUUGCGCGGUCAUCGAUUACUUCUAAAGAUCGUAAUCUUUAAGAAAAAAUUACUUCUCUUGAAAGUGAAAGCACGGCAGCUAUUGUCGUAUUGCAAUGCAGCUGCUAUGUGUAGUAGCCAAUUCUUGGAAAGAACUAGUUUUCUUAAAUUGUAAAUGGUCCCCUUUAUGAUAUGAUGAAUUUGAUGAAUAUGAUGAAUUCUUUGCAAGUGUUGUUCCUUGAAGUCUCAUCUUUCACAAUGUUUUUGAAAUACUAAAUAUUCACUCUUGAUUCGGACCACCUAAUCUGAACUUGAUGAAAGAUUAUGAUCUUGCCUGAUUUUAUGGAUGUGGUCUUAUCUCACGUAAGUCAGUAAUGAAUUAAUUAAAGUUUACUGUCAAAUUACGAACUCAAAAACUGUUGCUGCUUCAUUAUUCACAAUGCCCAAAUUCAGUGCAGAACUUAUUAUAAGUUUUCCAAAAGUUUUAUGCUUUCUUUCCCCCAAAUCCCAAGUACUUCCUGUAAUAUCAUUCCCCUAAGACAUGUUUAACUUUGGUUCAGGGUAACAAAGCUAUAGCUUUUCCUGCCAUGUGCAACAAGCUAUUAAAUUGAAGUAUUUAUUUCUGCAAUACUACUACUAACUAGUAAGAGAGGCGAAAUGGAUACUUGAAUAUAUGUUUUAGUUUGUUUAUAAAUAAAUGAGUUGAUAAUAAGUCAUUUUAAAUAUUUGCAAAAAAAAAAAACGGUGAGUGAUGUCUAGUUCUAUUUUCACUGCUCAGAGUCCAAUUUUGAUUACUGGAAAAUUUAAUUAUAAAGUUGAACUAAGAAUUUGUUAUAAAAUAUUCCACCUUCAUAUACAGUCAUCUGGAAUAAUAAUAUAUAAAAAACAGUAAUAACUCGAUUUACAGGGUGAGAAAGAAAAGAAAGACGCUACGAGGAAAGUAGAGAUUCAAAGACUUCACAACUUUGUUGGAUGAAAAAUUUCAUAAAUCUACAGAAUAUUGACAUAAAAUACAGAACAUAUCUAGCAUUAAGUAUAUUUAUGUAUGUCCAAAGACAAAAAUUCGAAGAUUAGAUUUAUCAUUUCAAUUUAUGUUCCGCCCAAAGCAAUGACUUUUAUUCCAUAAGCACAAACAAGAAAGAGUACGCAACGUUAACAAACACACAUAGCAAACAUGACAUUAACUACUUGCAGCAGCAUCAUCCAGAAACUUCACUAUAAUCUUCUUGAGCUUUUCAGCGGCAUCUUUCGUAGAUGCCCUUUGUUUUGGUGACUCCAUGCAAAAAUCCAAUGCCGAAUGCAUGAUGCUUAAUAAACAAUUCAUUUUAUUAGUACAUUGGAUAUAAUCGAAGGCAAAGUAUAUUUCAGGACAAGCAGAGUAGCAUUCUUGGAUCCUUUGCUAUUAUCUUCUUUGCAAGGUGGGACUAGAGGUCCUGGUGGAUAACAUAGUGCAUAAUUCUCAAAAAAUGAUUGAGCUGAAAUGUUUUUAAAAGGUCCUUUGAUAGGAAUUCCCCCUUCUAGCCUAUUGUUAGACACAUUAAGUUGUUUGAGAUAUGAGAGUGCCUCUAUUGACUUUGGAAUUUCUCCAGAGAAAUUGUUGCUAGGGAGAUCCAAAGAUUCCAACCUUAUGAAACUACCAAAUGGUUUAGGGAUCAGACCAUAAAAUUGGUUUCUAACCAAGGAUAAAGUUGCUAGAUCUUUGAGGCCACCAAUAUUUACUGGUAUAUCACCUGAUAAUUGAUUUCUUGAUAAAUCUAACUCGAUUAAGACCCUUAAGUUUUGUAUAUCUGAAGAUAGAUGAUCACUUAGAGAAUUUUUUGACAAGUUUACAUACAUGAUGUACUCAAGACUCCACAAGGAUGAUAGGAUACUAGAAGUGAGCGUGUUGGAGAUUAAAAAGAGUGUUCUUAGAGAAGUCAGACUGCCCAAGAAUUGCGGUAUAUGUCCAAAGUGCUUAUUUUCAUUUAAAAUAAACCAGUCAACCGCUCCAAGCGGCAAAGAUCAUUGGGAAUGUAUCCUUGCAAAUUAUUGGCAUCGAGAUAUGAAACUUGUAGUGUCUUUAACGUUCCCAUUGAUGCUGGAAUAGUUUGGUCCAAAUGAUAAAGAAAAGAAAGACGCUACGAGGGAAGCAGAGAUUCAAAGACUUCGCCACUUUGUUGGAGGAACAAUUUCAUAAAUCUCCAGAAUAUUGACAUAAAACACAUACCAUAUCUAGCAUUAAGUGUAUUUAUGUAUGUCCAAAGAUAAAAAUUCGAAGAUUAAAUUUAUCAUUUCAAUUUAUGUUCUGCCCAAAGCAAUGGCUUUUAUUCCACAAGCACAAACAAGAAAGAGUACGCACAAAGUUAACAAACACACAUAGCAAACGUGACAUCAACUACUUGCAGCAGCAUCAUCCAGAAACUUCACUCUAAUCUUCUUGAGCUUUUCAGCGGCAACUUUCGUAGAUGCCCUCUGUUCUGGUGACUCCAUGCAACAAUCCAAUGCCGAAUGCAUGGUGCUUAAUAAACAAUUCAUUCUGGUGAAAGUUUCCAUCAAUAAAACACCAUAACUAUAGACAUCACCUUUGGCCGAAAUCAUUCCUUCUAAUCCAUACUCUCCAUUUUUUGGUUUCGAUAGAUCAAAUGGAUAUGACAUCAUAAAACAAAUGAUAAACAAAUAAUAUUUUGACAGUCAAGAUGGCCCAAACUUUGACUGUGCUUCGAAAAGAGCGAAAAUUUGAAAUUAUAAUUGAAACCUUACCUGGUGCCAUAUAACCAGUUGUAGCCACUGUCAUGAUUUGGGUCACAGAAUCUUCUCCAUCACCUAAGAGUUCGGAGAUGCCGAACUCACAUGUGCCACCAUAUUUUCAUCCAAGAGAAUGUUGCUAGCUUCAAAUCACAAUGAAUUACAGGUGCUGAUGAAUGAUCGUGAUGGAGAUAUUCAAGUGCCAGCCGCACAUCUAUCAUUAUAUUCAACCUCUCUAGGAUAUCUAGGAAAUAGUUGUGAGAACACAACCAUUUCUCAAGACUACCAUUGAGCAUGAACUCAAGCACCAGUACUUUAGAAUCUGGUUUGCAACAGCUGCUAGUGAUCUUUGUGAGAUCUUGAUGACGAACAUUCCACAAUACUUCACAUUCAGAAUCAAAACUCCUAAAGGCUCUCUCUAGCUGCAGAUUGAAAACCUUUAUUACAAUAAUAGUCACAUCAUAAAGUGUGCCUUUAUAAACAGAUCCGAAGCUCUCCGUACCUAGCAGGAUACAUUCACUAAAUCCAUCAGCUGCUCAUUGAAUAUCAUGAUAGGAUAGUCUUCUCCAUGUUGUCGAAGAGAACAAAUCUUCUUUAUCUGGAGUUCUUGUUUUCCUAUUUUGGAAUAUUAUGAAGAAUCAUAACAAUUGUUAUUAGUGCAUUGGAUAUAAUCGAAGGCAAAGUAUAUUUCAGGACAAGCAGAGUAGCAUUCUUGUAUCCUUUGCUAUUAUCUUCUUUGCAGGGUGGGACUUGAAGGCCUGGUGGACCACAUAGUGCAUAAUUCUCAAAAAACAAUUAAGCUGAAAUGUUUUUAAAAGGUCCUUUGAUAGGAAUUCCCCCUUCUAGCCUAUUGUGAGACACAUUGAGUUGUUUGAGAUAUGAGAGUGCCUCCAUUGACUUUGGAAUUUCUCCAGAGAGAUUGUUGCUAGGGAGAUCCAAAGAUUCCAACCUUAUCAAACUACCAAAUGAUUUAGGGACCAGACCAUAAAAUUGGUUUCUAGCCAAGGAUAAAGUUGCUAGAUCUUUGAGGCCACCAAUACUUACUGGUAUAUCACCUGAUAAUUGAUUUCUUGAUAAAUCAACUCUAUUAAGACCUUUAAGUUUUGUAUAUCUGAAGAUAGAUGACCACUUAGAGAAUUUGUUGACAAGUUUACAUACAAGAUGCACUCAAAAUUCCACAAGGAUGAUGGGAUACUAAAAGUGAGCGUGUUGUAGCUUAAAGAGAGUGUUUUUAAGGAAUUGAAUAUCUGAAAUCGUGUAUGUAAAUAUUAACACUUAGAGAAUUUGUCGACAAGUUUUUAAGGAUUUACUGAUUAAAUAAUUUUUCAAUUUGUUUGCCUAGAGGAAUUGAAUAGUUAACUGAUUAAAGGACUUCAAGGUGGUUAGGUUCAGUCGAGCAUUGUAAAUAUUAACGGUCAUUAUGAAUGUGUAAUUCCUACAUGUGAAAUUGAAUUUCCAUGGUAUAGCAUGGUAAAUUUCUGCUAGGGUGUGCUCGUGUGGUAGCCAAUUGUGAGCAACAGAUCCACAUAGUAAUAUAGACUGAAAUUUUGCGUCUUAAUCCAUGAAGAUAUAGAUUUUGGCAAAUAUUAUACAAGCCCUGGGGGUUACCUUAAUUAUUCUGGACUUUUCAUUAAUAGAGUUUCUUUUACCUAGUUAUUGAUAUUUCUUUCAAUUUUCUAUUUUAUUGAUACCAUAUAUACAAUUUUAGGUGUCAAGACAACUUUCGAUUUCUAUUGAGCCUGAAAACCUCCAUCUACCUUCACCUCUGUCAGCUUUCGGGGAAUACGAGGUUCCUAUGCGCUUUCCCAAAGCCAUUCCCCUACCGGAAGGAAAGGUCCAGUGGACUCUCAAUGUUAAAGUCCGCGGCAAAUAAACAAUCGGUUCAUUUGUUUUGUUUUACUCGGUUCGGGAUCCAAAUUCCAUUGUAGAACAGUUUUUGGUUUUUCUUCAUAUAACAUUCUGAAGAUAAUACAGGCAACAUUGUUUGCAACGCCACAGCGAAUUUGCAGUAGGUUGAAACAAUCAGAAUUUUGCCUUUUUCGUGUAUAAAAUUUUAUUUUUUAAAUUGUGAUAUUACAGUUUUGCCCAUCAAGCAUUAUGAAGCUUAAUAUUUGGAUAAAUGUUAGGUUUAAUCUAUAAAUCAUAACUUCAGUGUUUAUUUUGUUUUUAUAUUUUGAAAAAUAUCUCAAGGCAGCCCUAUUAUCAAAUAUUGGCUUGAUCUGUAUAUAUUAACUUCAGUGCUUAUUUAGGUUUUAUAUUUUGAAAAAUACUUUAAGGCAGUCCUAUUAUCAAAUAUGUUAUACUCUUACUUUCAUUUUUUCUUUCUUUUUAUAAUAAUACUCUGAUAACAAUAUUUUUUACAUUAAUUUUUUAAUCAAUAAAAAAGGUAACUUGCAAAUUAACCGAUAAAUUAAUUUAUUAAUUUUUUAAUCAAUAAAAAAGUUAAUUAAUAUUAAUUAAUAAAUUACUUAGUCGCAAAUUAAAAAAUAAAUAUUAGCAUAAAACAAUUGAUAUUUUUCAUUCUCUUACAACAAUCUUACUAAUUAUUAUUUAUAAAUUAAUUAAUACAAGUUAAUUUAAAGUAAUCUUUAAUAUUCUUGCAACAAUCUUACUAAUAAUUUUUUUUUUAUAAAAACUUAAUUUAUUAAAUUAAUCCUAAAAGUAAAAUAAUAAUAAUUAAUUUGUAUCUUACUUUUAAGUUUUAAGGUUAAUUUGAAAGCCAUGUCACCCAUAUUCUUAGGCUGCUACUGCAUUACCACUUUGCCAGUUGCCACGAAGCUCCCCACAUCACACCGCACUGAUGCCUCUCGAAAACUAACUUAAAAAAAUGGUAUUAAUAAGCGUACGCCACGUCACUCCUCACUCUCUUCUUCGUCAGUUUCCUCUCACUCAACACUUUCUCCCCAAACAAAUUCCUUCUUUGAAAAAUCGCAUUUUCUCCUUCACAACAACAGCUACAAUGUCUUCAACUUCCAAAAAGGUAAUUUUUUUAAAAAAAAUUUAUCUUUUGUUUAGUUUCUUUCUGUGGCCUUUUUGUUGCGAACGGGAGUGAGCCGAUUGAGUCCGUGAUAACCAUCGAUGUUUUCAGAAGGUCUGGAGCUGACGUCACGGUUGCGUCUGUGGAGAAACAGCUUCGUGUCGACGCGUGUCAUGGUGUCAAGAUUGUCGCUGAUGCUCUCGUGUCUGACUGCUGCGACCCCGUUUUUGAUCUUAUAGCUCUUCCCGUAUGUAUUGCAGCUCACCUCAGCUCAUGCCAAUUUAUGUGAUGUUUGUAUAAUUAUAGAUGAUUAUUGCUGAUACUGAAUGUUAAGCUAAAUAAUUCGUUCUUAAGUCAUCUUCAUUUAAUUUUCGAUUGAAAAUGAAAAAAUAAUAAUUUUAAGCAAAGAAAAAUAUAGAAAAUGUUUAUUUUGUUUUAAUUUUCAGGGAUUUCCUUAUUGUGGCUCUUAUCAUUCGUUAUAUGGUCCUAGUUAAAUAUUUCAAAUUGUUGUAGUCAGUGAAAUUCUUUUCGAUAUUUAUUCUGGCAUGUAUAUUUUUCCUUUCAAUUUCUUUUGUUGCUGAUUCUUUGAUUGAUUAUGUUAUAUCCUUUUUUGUUUCCCUUGUAGGGUGGCAUGCCCGGUGCUACCAAUCUGAAGGAAUCUGAAGUAUUAGAAAGCAUUGUGAAGAAGCAGGCCUCAGCUGGGCGUCUUUAUGCUGCUGUCUGUGCUUCACCUGCUGUGGCAUUAGGGUCUUGGGGUCUGUUGAAGGGAUUGAAGGUAAGAGUUAGAUAAGCCUUUUUGAUGUUUUGUGGUCUUUUGGGAAUUGCACUGAUAUUUUUGUUAUAGUUCAGUUUUCUUCUCGCUGAUGAUUGUUAAGUUCUAAUUUAUGUAGUUGUUCAUUUUUCGUAGGCUUCUUGUUAUCCGUCAUUUAUGGAGCAAUUAGCUCCUGCUUGUGCAGCAACUGUUGAAUCAAGAGUACAGCAGGAUGGUAAAGUUGUUACGAGUCGUGGACCGGGCACUACCAUGGAGUUUGCCGUUGCACUUGUUGGGCAGUUGUAUGGGAAAGAGAAAGCUGAUGAAGUUUCUGGGCCACUGGUAUUAACUUUUAUAGAUAACGUUGUUUAAAAAAAUUAUGAGUUAUAUAAUUUGUGGAAGCUUCAGAUGCUAAUGUAUUCAAGAAAAUAAGUUCAGGGGAAGAGUAUGACUUUUUGCAUUAGUGAUUCAUUAGAUGAAAUUGUAUACCUGCUGGUCCAUCAUAAGGUGGUGAAAACAAUGUUUGAUUUAAUUAAUGGAAUCCUGAAAUAUGCAUUUGUUGAGCUUCAAUGUCUCCACUGAUAAAAUUCUUUUUAAUGUAAGUUCUUUCUCUUGGUAUUCUGCGCAAAUGUUGUGGUUGUGUCAGUUGAGGAUAAACUAGAAAUUCUGGCUUCUCGUCAAGUUAAAUUAGUGCCAGAUAUGCUUAUUGAUGAGGCAGCUAAACUUUCGUAUGAUUUGAUUGUCUUGCCAGUAAGUGGGGUUGCUAACUCUUGCCUCAUAGUCUUUACCAAAUUAUUGACUUACUAACUACAAUUUAUCUAUGCACAGGGUGGACUUGGUGGUGCUCAAGCAUUUGCGAAGUCAGAAAAAUUGGUAAAUAUGCUAAAGAAGCAAAAGGAAUCAAAUAGGCCUUACGGUGCUAUAUGUGCAUCCCCAGAACUAGUGUUGGAGCCCCAUGGCUUACUCAAGGUAUGACCAUUUCUGAUUAAAUAUUUACUCUUGAUUUGAAUCACCUAAUCUGAACUUGAUAAAAUAUUGUGAUCUUGUGUGAUUUUAUGAACGUGGUCUUAUCUCAUGUAAGUAUGUAAUGAAUUUAUUGAAGUUUGCUGACAAAUUACAAACUCAAAAACUGCUGCUGCUGCUUCAUUAGUUACAGUACCCAAGGAGUUAUGAUAGACAUCCCAAACCUUUUACCCCAAAUUCCCUCUCAAAUGACAUGGUAGUUAUUAAGUGGUUGGUAAUUUUUUAUUAGAUAGAAGUGAAUUAAUUAUAUUAUUUAAUCAACCAAUUGAUGAAUGUCACGCCAUUUGAGAUGAAUUUUUGGGAUGUGUAGCAAAACUUUAUGCUGAUUUGUUUUGGCUACAUUCAUGUAAAACCUUUUUCCCCAAAUCCCAAGAACUUCCCGCAAUAUCAUUCCUUUGUAUUUGUUUUCCCCUUUAGACAUGUUUAACUUUGGUUCAGGGUAAAAAAGCUACGGCUUUUCCUGCCAUGUGCAACAAGCUAUCAGAUCAAAGUGAAAUCGAAAACAGGGUUGUGGUUGAUGGCAACCUUAUCACCAGCAGAGGGCCAGGAACUUCCAUGGAGUUUGCACUGGCAAUUGUGGAGAAGUUUUUUGGCCGCAACAAAGCUCUUGAGCUUGCAAAGAUAUUGCUUCUCUCCUGCACCUAAAAUUUGUACCAGGACCUGACUACUAUUAAACUAGAGUAUUUAUUCCUGUAUUACUGCUGCUUGUAGAGAGGCGAAAUGGAAACUUGAAUUCGUGUUUGAAUAUGGAUUCACUGU
rnacentral:lncRNA from 1 species